UACGGAGGGAGCUAGCGUUGUUCGGAAUUACUGGGCGUAAGCGCACGUAGGCGGCUUUUUAAGUCGGGGGUGAAAUCCCGGGGCUCAACCCCGGAACUGCCCUUGAAACUGGAGAGCUAGAAUCUUGGAGAGGCGAGUGGAAUUCCGAGUGUAGAGGUGAAAUUCGUAGAUAUUCGGAAGAACACCAGUGGCGAAGGCGACUCGCUGGACAAGUAUUGACGCUGAGGUGCGAAAGCGUGGGGAGCAAACAGG
rnacentral:rRNA from 1 species